CAAAGGCUUGGUCCUGACUUUACUAUCAUUUCUAACUGAACUUACACAUGCAAGUAUCCGCCCCCCUGUGAGGAUGCCCUUAACCUCCCCCCACGGAGAUAAGGAGCCGGCAUCAGGCACACACACAUUGUAGCCCAAAACGCCUUGCUUAGCCACCCCCCCAAGGGAAUUCAGCAGUGAUAAAUUUUAAGCAAUAAGCGAAAGCUUGACUUAGUUAAUGUUAAGAGGGCCGGUAAAACUCGUGCCAGCCACCGCGGUUAUACGAGAGGCCCCAAUUGAUAGACAUCGGCGUAAAGCGUGAUUACAGGCUGCUGCUAUAAAUUAAAGCGGAAAUCUCUCUCGACCGUUAUACGUAUAUGAAAAGAUGAAAAUCAACCACGAAAGUAGCUUUAUACAAAACAGCCACCUUGAACUCACGACAGCUAAGACACAAACUGGGAUUAGAUACCCCACUAUGCUUAGCUAUAAACCUUGAUAAUAAAAUACAAAUAUUAUCCGCCAGGGGACUACGAGCGUUAGCUUAAAACCCAAAGGACUUGGCGGUGCCCCAGACCCACCUAGAGGAGCCUGUUCUAGAACCGAUAAUCCUCGUUAAACCUCACCACUCCUUGUUAAUCCCGCCUAUAUACCGCCGUCGUCAGCUUACCCUGUGAAGGGCUAAUAGUAAGCAGAAAGAACUCACUUAAAAACGUCAGGUCGAGGUGUAGCGUAUGGAGUGGAAAGAAAUGGGCUACAUUUUCUAACUACAGAAUACUACGGAUGAUUCUAUGAAACAUAGAAUCUUUGAAGGUGGAUUUAGCAGUAAAAAGAAAGCAGAGAGUUCUUUUGAAGCCGGCUCUGAGGCGCGCACACACCGCCCGUCACUCUCCUCAAAUUGGACAAACCCUAUAAAUAAAAAAACACCCUUAACAAGAGGAGGCAAGUCGUAACAUGGUAAGUGUACCGGAAGGUGCACUUGGAUCA
rnacentral:ncRNA from 1 species